AGGUGCAGCCUCUAGCCCACUUCAAGGAAAGUGAGCUCCUGGAGCUCCAACUGAGCUGUUCGCCCCGGUUACGUGGACCCCUAUUGAUGUCGGGCAGUAAGCAUCAAACUGAGCAUAAGCAUUAAAACAAACUGGUCUCUGAGCUUCUCAACUUCAGUCCAGCAGCAGAGGAUAAGUAAAGGAGGGUGUGUUACAUACCGGAAGCCCUACUAGUAAGUGGCAAGCAAUCUGGCUUGAUUAGGAGGUCUGCAGAUGUUUCGUGGAAGAACUUGACAGCAGAAAAAUGAGGAAGUUAGCUGAGCAGGAUUUUGGGAACUUGCCACUUUCCAUUCAGUGGCGUGUCACUGGGACCAAGCCAAAGUUUUUGUUUUAGUGUAUGGAUGAGGAAGCCAAGAGAUACUGUAAAACGGCCAAAAAUGAAUAUUAGAAUUUUUUCGAGUUGCAAACAACAUUGCUGCAGAAUCAAAUGGAGAAUCAAAUGGAAAUACAGAAGUUGGUUUCAUGACCAGAAGAAUAAGGAAAAAAACUGGAAGAAGCCACAAGGAUAUAUUUUCCACUCCUCCAUCAUCUCUUGGGUAUCAUUUCUUGAACAUUUUUGAUUUCCCUGUGAAUUCACCAUAGUGCCAAAUAUUUGAAGGUACUGAGUUUUGUCUAUACUGAUUUCUGCAGUCAGAACUGAGGUAGAAUGCAAAGCUAUCAAGACCAAUCCUGAGGGAAAAGAGAAGUGGGAUGGUAAGCAGAAAAGAAAUAUCUUAAAAACAGAAGUGGGUGAAAAUCUAGUUUAUGAAACAGGAAAUGCAACUGAGAGUUUAGCCAUAAAUACAAGCUAUUGUAAGGAAGAGAAGCUUCCAACAGAACAAGGUAAAUACAAGGUCAUAGAAGCACAAUCUCUGCCUCAGUAAUGAACAACAGGGCUGGAGGGUUAGCUCAGGCAUGGAGCACUUGCCUAGCCUGUGAGAAGGCCUGGAGUCUAGACAGAAUGGCCAAGUCAAAAGGAAACAAGUUACACAUAUUUCUGAGGAUCUGGAUUGAGAAGGUCUCUAGAAUUUUUUUCCACCCUGAAUGAGCCUGAGAUAGAACACUAUUUCUGAUUUAUUCUGCUCUAUGGAAGGAGGUGCACCAGAAUGGUAACAAGUUCUUACGUGAUCUUUCUUCACUUUACUCAAGAAAGCACGGUGAACGAAAGAGUUACGAGUAGGAAGUUUCUCCCCUAGCCUGAUCCUUCUUCUUGACAGAAAGUAAAGAGUUCGGACGGAGUUUUAGUUAGUUUCUUCAUUGCUGAUACACACCUGACACCUGCAGCGUGCAGAAGGAGAGGUUUAUUUUGGCUCUCAGGUUUUAGUGCACUGGCUCCAAGGCAAGGCAGCAUGGCAGAGGAGGAAGAGCUCGGCAUGAUGGCAGGAAGCAGAGAGAAAUCAAGAGAUGACAGAAGGAGAGACAUCAUCCCAGCCAUGCCUAUAGAGACUCACCUCCUCCAAACAGGCUUCACCCUUCAACAUCUCAGCUAUAAAUUUAUCAGAGAAUCGACCCACUGAUGAGUAUCACACAGCCAUGAUCCACUCACCCCUCAAAACCCCACUUAUGAGUGCACGAGACUGGGGGGGCAUCUAAAUAUAAACCAUAACAGAUGGGUUCCUGUGACUCUUUCAGAAUUUGAAGUACGUGUAAAAUAUGUUUUUGCUGCAGUGUGGGACAGCAAAUGCCAACACCUAGAAAGCUAUAGCAGUCAAAAUGAAAACAUCUUGUUUAUUGGCAUUCACAGUGCAUAACUGUAAUCACCCAUUUAUCUUGUAGCUUCUGUAGAUGAUAAAGUUUCUGUCUGUUGGGUAAAAUAUGCCAAAUUUGUAGCUUUAUAAUAUCAGAAGAUUCCUUGGUUUAUUUAAUGUUCUGGCGAAUUUUGGCCCAACAGGCUUAGAUCUGCAAUGCUUUAGCUGCUUACCUUAGAGGCCAUUGUGACAAUUCAAUAAGAUAACAUGGGUAAAAUGUCUGCUGCAUAUCUUUCUUCCUGUUCUUCCUUUACCCUUCUGGGAAGGAUCAAGAAGGUCUUGAUCCAGUUAAGAUCUUCCAGCAGUGUUCAGGGACUGCUUUAUGUACAUAAUGAUAGUUCUGACAGCAUUUGAUGUGCUCCCUGUCUCUUAUCUAAGGUAAGCAUUGCCAUCUUUCUUUCACAGAUUAAGUAGCCAAGGCUUGAAAAGCAAGAGGUAUAGCUAAAAUGUUGUAGAUCUGCGAGUCUAAUUCAAGGUCUUUCUCCACUGCACGUUCCCCACACCGUUGUGUCUCACCAUGAGAUCCAAGAAGUUUGUGGAGGGCAACUCUGAGCUAACACUUCACCUUCCUUCCAUAUUAAACUGUUUUGCAUUUCUGAAAGCCUCUUUUGGAAAUUGUCACUGAGCAUCCACCCACUGGAACACAAAUGGCUAACGUAGAUGUUUAUGCAGUGAUGUAAAAACAUACUGUUGUAGUCAGGGGUUGUACACAGAGAACAAUUCAGAUCACGACAUGGUGUUUAUAAUAUUUUUAUAAUGGUCACUGGAAGUUAACACAGGAGAAUGCAGGAAAUCUAUCCGCAACACCAAUGACAUAGAUUAGUUAAGAGUCUAAACCCCAUGGCAAUGUCCCACAUGAGUCCAGAUAAAAACCCAGAGUUCAGAACAAUGCCUCCACGAGUCCAACUGGAAGUCCAGAGCCCACAAGAAGGACUCACGCCAGUCUCUUUUACGGAUUCAUGCCGGGAAGACCCAAGGGUCAGCGGUGGAAGCCAGAAAGUGUAUGCCAGCAGGAUGAAGGAGCUGUGCUAGUGGGAUGAGGGUUCUACACUGGAGCCGAGAAGUCACACUCACAACAAAGAGCAGGGCUAGCCUGAAAGGCACCACUGCUGUCCUCAGCGACAUGGAGGCCCCGAGCUCCUCCGACGACAGCCACAGUCGGGUACGUGCCAGGAAGCAGCGUGAGGAGUUCAUCCUGGAGACCAGGCAGCACAUGUCUUCCCCUAAGGAGCCAGGAAGCAAUGCUCCAUGUGAAGACCAAAGCUUCUCCAGGAGAACCAACAGCUCAGACAGCAACUCGUAGGAGAACCCACAAUGUCUCCUUAAAGCCUCAAUCCCUCUCGACACCUCUCUUCUUCUCCACCUAUUUAUCCUGGCAACUCUCCUCAGGUGGAGCAUCUUCUCUCAAUGUAAUCCAGCUGGCGUUAAGUUGACCACCAGUUUUCAAACCAUAACACAUACUACCAGUCAGAAAGAUACACAUGGAAACAGUGAUAAGAAAUAUCUCUGGGUAUAUACAAGUCAACUGUGCAUGCUGUAGUUUAUAAAGGUGAGCCACCAAUUCCAUCCUGAGCUUAAGCGAUACUUCCUGGCAAUUCCUGACUUUGUUUUUCCCUGACCUUCUGGUACUCUAAUUCAGAUUCAGCUCCCUAGUUGAUCACUUUAACCUCAAUUUUGAUUCUGAGGUUCUGGCAGUAUAUGUGCUACAGUACUUGAAAGUUUGAUCCUAGUUUGACUACUUGAACUUCCUCUAUCUCUUUGGCUCCCAACUUCCUACUAUGCCUCCCAUAAAAGCUUCCCACCCUAGGCUCAAUCCUGAGGAACACAGUCUGGCAACAGCCAUUCAUUUGACUGUACUGGCAGUCAAGAGUUAGGGUGAGAAAACAACUGGUCUGAAACCUGUAGCUGUGAAGGGACUCUGGCAGCUCUUCUGGUAAAAUGAAUUUAUCCAUGGCAUAUUCCACCUACAGUUUAUGGAAAAUGGGAUUAUGUGAAUGUAUAAAUAAGAACUCUCCAGAGAAACAGAACCAAUAGGCAAUAUAGCCACAAAGAUAGGGCUAGAAUGGAAGGAGGGUCUCUAUACCUACAAGAUUAAGUAAAAGGAAUUAGCUUCCGUGAUUAUGGAGGAUAUCUGCGGUUGGAAAGUUAGAGACAGGAUAAUCAAAGGAAUAAGUUCCAGUCUGAAAAUCAACAGUCUUCACACCCAAGAACAGCUGAGUUUUCAGUUCCAGUCUAACAGCAGAACAGACUGAUGCAACCAACUCCCAGGCAAGAGGACUCCUCUCAUCUUUCUGUGAUAUUCAGGCUUUUAAUCGAUUGGAUGAGACCCACCAACAUUAAGAAGAGGAUGUGGAGGGCACUGUUUUACUCAUUCUUCCAUUGAGCCAUUAAUUUCAACUAGAAAUAACCCUAAAACUUCUACCUAGAACAUACAAAGAAUUGAAACAAAUCAGACCCCCAAAAUUCAAAGAUCUAAUCCAAAAAUCGCCAUCUGAGAUGAAUACACAUUUCUCAGAUGAAGAAAUAAGAAAUGGCAGACAAAUAUAUGAAAAAAUGUUCAACAUCACAUGCCAUUAUAGAGAUGAAAAUUAAAACAACACUGAGAUUCCAUCUCACCCCAGAACGAAUGGCUUCCAUCAAGAAAUCAACCAAUAAUAAAUGCUGGAGGGGAUGUGGGGAAAAAGGAAUCCUUCUCCAUAAUUGGUGGGAGUGUAGACUGAUGCAACCACUGUGGAAAUCAGUGUGGAGAUUCCUCAAAAAACUAGAAUGAGAGGUUCCAUUCAACCCAGCUCUUCUCCUUCUGGGUUUCUUCCCAGAAGAAUUAAAACCAUCACAUCACAGUGAUAUAUGUGUACCCAUGUUUUUAGCAGCACAAUUUUAAUAGUUAAAUCUUGGAAGCAACCCAAAUGCCCAUCAACCAAGGAAUGGACAAAGAAAACGUGAUUCUUAAUAUGAUGGAGUACUACUCAGCCAUAAAAAUGAUAAACUGGAGACUUUUAUAAGUAAAUGGAUGCAGCUUGAGACCAUAUUCGUAAGAGAAAUAUAUCAGGCUCAUGUGUAUAAACAUCAUAUUGUCUCACUGGUGUGACAAACUGAGUGAGUAAAUAAGUUCUAAAAUGUACAAUAGAUAUUGUGAAAUGGGAAAAAAUUGUUCAAAAGUAAAAGAAAGCAGGAUGAGUGGGAGAAAAGGGAAAAAAUACAAAUCAUUUACAGUAUUAGUAUUAGUUCAUUAAAAAGGAAGGUUUGUGAUAAUAUUCUUUUUUUAAAAUUUUAUUUAAGGAGAAAAAGGAAAAAAGGGUACAAGUUAUACAGAAUUUCAAAAAAAUAAACAGUAGAAAAUCACUAGUUAAUAGAUUACAUGUUGUCAUCUUAGAAAUAGUUGUUCAAGUUACAAAAUUAAAGCAUAAAAGUGGACAUUCAAACAGUGAGACUGCAAACAGUUCUGUUCAGUGAUUCAAAAAAUUCAGUAAUAUAGUUAUCUAUCUUAUACACUUAAAUAUACAUGCAGUCAUAUCAUUUAGAGCACUUUCUUUUCCUCUCUU